CCGACGGUGACUACCGACUUUGGAAAAUCAAAACUAAGGGGCGGAACAACCAAAUCGAAGCAGAGGAGGGGUUUUUAAACCAAUUCUCGAUGAUUCUUGAUGGAAUCCAACCGACGAUGGCUUGCUAGAGAUAGGAGAAGACCUUAAAAAGAAAAUUAAAUAACAAAAAGGAAUCCAUACCUCAUCUCUGGAGAGGAUAUAAGGCCGACACGAAG
rnacentral:lncRNA from 1 species